CCAAAGUUCGAGGGCGUCCGGGCCAGACCCUUCCGGGGUGACCGUCCGAAGGCGCCCCGACCCCCCUCUGUCGAGGCGGCGGGACUGCUGUCCGUCGUCUUCGUCGCCUCGACGGUCCACAAACCCUCUCGGCGUACCUUACCCUUGUUGCUUUCCCGGGUCUGAACGGGCUCGGGAAGAGACCGAAACCAAUCUCUGUGAGUCAGUCGUCUGAAUCGGAUGGCCCGCGUGCCGUCCGACCAAUUCCAAAAGUUCA
rnacentral:misc_RNA from 1 species